AGUCACUGACAUUAGAUACCCGGGUAGUCCAGGGUGUAAACGCUGCAGACUUGGUGUUGGAAGCCCUUUGGGGGCAUUCAGUGCCGGAGAGAAGUUGUUAAGUCUGCUACUUGGGGAGUACGUCCGCAAGGAUGAAACUUAACGGAAUUGGCGGGGGAGCACCGCAACGGGAGGAGCGUGCGGUUUAAUUGGAUUCAACACCGUAAAACUCACCAGGGAAGACUGUUACAUGAAGGCCGAGAUGAAGACUCUGCUAGAUUUUCAG
rnacentral:rRNA from 1 species